UGGUAGUGGGGGAUAACGUUCCGAAAGGAACGNUAAUACCGCAUACGUCCUACGGGAGAAAGCAGGGGACCUUCGGGCCUUGCGCUAUCAGAUGAGCCUAGGUCGGAUUAGCUAGUUGGUGAGGUAAUGGCUCACCAAGGCGACGAUCCGUAACUGGUCUGAGAGGAUGAUCAGUCACACUGGAACUGAGACACGGUCCAGACUCCUACGGGAGGCAGCAGUGGGGAAUAUUGGACAAUGGGCGAAAGCCUGAUCCAGCCAUGCCGCGUGUGUGAAGAAGGUCUUCGGAUUGUAAAGCACUUUAAGUUGGGAGGAAGGGCAUUAACCUAAUACGUUAGUGUUUUGACGUUACCGACAG
rnacentral:rRNA from 1 species